GGGAUUGUGGCUCAGUGGUAGAGCACUCCUCUAGCGCGGGCGGGACCUGGGUUCGAUCCUCAGCACCA
rnacentral:tRNA from 1 species